rnacentral:rRNA from 1 species
GACGAACGCUGGCGGCGUGCCUAAUACAUGCAAGUUGAGCGAUGAAGCUUGGUGCUUGCACCAAUUUGAAGAGCAGCGAACGGGUGAGUAACGCGUGGGGAAUCUGCCUUUGAGCGGGGGACAACAUUUGGAAACGAAUGCUAAUACCGCAUAACAACUUUAAACAUAAGUUUUGAGUUUGAAAGAUGCAAUUGCAUCACUCAAAGAUGAUCCCGCGUUGUAUUAGCUAGUUGGUGAGGUAAAGGCUCACCAAGGCGAUGAUACAUAGCCGACCUGAGAGGGUGAUCGGCCACAUUGGGACUGAGACACGGCCCAAACUCCUACGGGAGGCAGCAGUAGGGAAUCUUCGGCAAUGGACGAAAGUCUGACCGAGCAACGCCGCGUGAGUGAAGAAGGUUGUCGGAUCGUAAAACUCUGUUGGUAGAGAAGAACGUUGGUGAGAGUGGAAAGCUCAUCAAGUGACGGUAACUACUCAGAAAGGGACGGCUAACUACGUG